UGGGGCCUACACAUGCAGUCGAGCGGUAACAGAUCCAGCUUGCUGGAUGCUGACGAGCGGCGGACGGGUGAGUAAUGCAUAGGAAUCUGCCCGAUAGUGGGGGAUAACCUGGGGAAACCCAGGCUAAUACCGCAUACGUCCUACGGGAGAAAGGGGGCUCCGGCUCCCGCUAUGGGAUGAGCCUAUGUCGGAUUAGCUAGUUGGUGAGGUAACGGCUCACCAAGGCCACGAUCCGUAGCUGGUCUGAGAGGAUGAUCAGCCACAUCGGGACUGAGACACGGCCCGAACUCCUACGGGAGGCAGCAGUGGGGAAUAUUGGACAAUGGGGGAAACCCUGAUCCAGCCAUGCCGCGUGUGUGAAGAAGGCCCUCGGGUUGUAAAGCACUUUCAGCGAGGAAGAACGCCUAGCGGUUAAUACCCGCUAGGAAAGACAUCACUCGCAGAAGAAGCACCGGCUAACUCCGUGCCAGCAGCCGCGGUAAUACGGAGGGUGCAAGCGUUAAUCGGAAUUACUGGGCGUAAAGCGCGCGUAGGUGGCUUGAUAAGCCGGUUGUGAAAGCCCCGGGCUCAACCUGGGAACGGCAUCCGGAACUGUCAAGCUAGAGUGCAGGAGAGGAAGGUAGAAUUCCCGGUGUAGCGGUGAAAUGCGUAGAGAUCGGGAGGAAUACCAGUGGCGAAGGCGGCCUUCUGGACUGACACUGACACUGAGGUGCGAAAGCGUGGGUAGCAAACAGGAUUAGAUACCCGGGUAGUCCA
rnacentral:rRNA from 1 species